rnacentral:lncRNA from 1 species
CUCAUUUCAUAAUGAGGCGCACUUCCGGUUCUAGACCUGGGGAGUGCGGCUCCUGCUUUCUACUAGAGGAUAUACAGAUGAUGCCACAUGUCUAUGGUGAUCUCUCUUCAGCUUUCGGGAAUUGCCUUCAAUCUUAUCCAGAGCAGUGGUUCUCAAAGUUCAGCCUGCAGCAGAAUCAACUGGAGAACUUGCUAAAUGGAGAAUACGAGGCACCCCUAGAGCUUCUGACAGAGCAGGUCUGCCCUGCCAAGUUCUCUGGGAAUCCCUCACACUGUGCCUCAUUUGUGUUCACAAACAAGUGUCUCCCAUGGACUUUUUCUCCUGCUCUUUUCCCACUUCCAGAAGCUGACUGGCUUACAUUUCCCACAUCUGACGAUGCGCCUUCAUGACCCAUCAUGUCUGUGAGGCUCCCAGAGCUAUUUGCCGACACUUGAAGACCCAGAGUAGCACUCGCUUCUGUAAGAAAAAAAGGAACCUAGGUUGUUCUAGGAACGCUAUGCUUAUGUGCAGGGACAAUGCCUUCUUGCCACAGCGACCGCUUGCUUUCGCAUAGAAUGGCUCCUGAAUUAAGAAUACUGUUCGCAGGGCCACCCCGCCGGGAGCAAGGCUGUGACAGCCGCGGAACUGCUUACCUGCGGGGAGAGUCAGCUUGUGCGAUGUUCUCCCUGCACCAGAAGGAGAAAACUAAUCCCAGCCAGUUCUAUUUAAAUGAAUAAUGAUCUGGGGUCACUUCGCAUCCUGUGGAGGUUAACGACU